rnacentral:rRNA from 1 species
CCAAGGGCAUCGCUGGGUAGCUAUGUUCGGUUUAGAUAAGCGCUGAAAGCAUCUAAGCGCGAAGCUGUCUCUAAGAUUAGGUUUCAUAGACUGGUUAGAGAUUAUAACCUUGAUAGGCCGUACGUGUAAGUCCCGCAAGGGAUUGAGCGGAGCGGUACUAAUAAGUNNUUUGAUUU